AUAAUUACGAACAUUUGAAAAUUCAAAUCAGCAAACAUGGUGAAUAGAAUAUGUCUUGAUCAUGGAAAUCACACAUUCUAAUACGUCUGACCACUCAAGUCUUUGAUUUUGUAGCCGGUAACACACUAUGGAAGAAAAU
rnacentral:sRNA from 1 species